rnacentral:rRNA from 1 species
UACGAGUGGUGCAAGCGUUGUUCGGAAUCACUGGGCAUAAAGGGUGCGUAGGCGGCUUGGUCAGUCGGUUGUGAAAUCCCCCGGCUUAACCGGGGAACUGCGUCCGAUACUGCCAGGCUUGAGGACGGGAGGGGAGAGCGGAAUUCCAGGUGUAGCGGUAAAAUGCGUAGAUAUCUGGGAGAAGGCCGGUGGCGAAGGCGGCUCUCUGGUCCGUUACUGACGCUGAGGCACGAAAGCGUGGGGAG